rnacentral:misc_RNA from 1 species
UUAAGUUCAGCGGGUAUCCCUACCUGAUCCGAGGUCAAUCUGAGAAAUAGAUUUGGUAAGACCGAGCCGGAGGACAUCCAGACGCGUGCUAAAAAGCUCGUUGCAUCCGGGGUCCGCACGGGCUCUGCCAUUAUCUUUCGGGUCCACCGAAUAUGUCAACGGUGGGGCCCAACAGCAAGCCGAGCUUGAAGGUUGAUAAU